GACGAACGCUGGCGGCGUGCCUAAUACAUGCAAGUCGAACGCAGUGGGGACGGGUGAGUAACACGUGGGUAACCUCCCAUCAGAGGGGAUAACACUUGGAAACAGGUGCUAAACCGAUACUGAUGGAUGGACCCGCGGUGCAUUAGCUAGUUGGUGAGGUAACGGCUCCCCAAGGCCACGAUGCAUAGCCGACCUGAUGGGGGUUUCGGCCACACUGGGAUGGAGACACGGCCCAGACUCCUACGGGAGGCAGAAGUGGGUAAUCUUCGGAAAUGGACGAAAGUCUGACCGAGCAACGCCGCGUGAGUGAAGAAGGUUUUCGGAUCGUAAAACUCUGUUGUUAGAGAAGCGGUAUCUAACCAGAAAGCCACGGCUAACUACGUGCCAGCAGCCGCGGUAAUUC
rnacentral:rRNA from 1 species